rnacentral:rRNA from 1 species
CGGCCAUACCACCCUGAAAGCGCCCGAUCUCGUCUGAUCUCGGAAGCUAAGCAGGGUCGGGCCUGGUUAGUACUUGGAUGGCAGAGGGCCCCAGAAGGGGCCUAAAUGU